rnacentral:snoRNA from 1 species
UUUUCACAUGAUGAAUACUUGAAAUUCUUGAUAGGAAGAGUAUGAAACAUAUAUGAGUACUAUAAAAAUAGCUGACAGUUAA